rnacentral:tRNA from 1 species
GAGGAGUUAGCUGAGUGGUUUAGCAGUAAUUUUACACAUUAUAGACAGGGGUUCGAACCCUCUACUCCUUA